UCUAAACUCAGAGGAAAGACAUCCAAUAAUUUGCCAUCAAUUCAAGGGGAAGCUGAUAACAACUCAUCUCCACAAAUGAGAUCAAGUAAAAUUUUCAUCAACGAAUCGUUGACAACAACUCGCAAGAUCGAGACUGUUUGCCAAAAUUCAUGCAUUUAAGAGGGAAAAUAACUUCAAGUACUUAUGGACUGCAAAUGGUAAAAUCUACUUGAGAGAAUUUGACUCAUCGACAACGUACAGUUUUACUCACGAAGGUGAAUUUCAAGCCUAUACUAACUCUCAUUGUUAAAGUCAGGUA